rnacentral:rRNA from 1 species
AGAGUUCGAUCCUGGCUCAGGAUGAACGCUGGCGGCGUGCUUAACACAUGCAAGUCGAACGAACCUUCGGGUUAGUGGCGGACGGGUGAGUAACGCGUGAGAAUCUGCCCUCAGGAGGGGGAUAACGGUUGGAAACGACCGCUAAUACCCCAUAUGCCGAUAGGUGAAAUGAAUUUCGCCUGAGGAUGAGCUCGCGUCUGAUUAGCUUGUUGGUGAGGUAAUGGCUCACCAAGGCUUCGAUCAGUAGCUGGUCUGAGAGGAUGAUCAGCCACACUGGGACUGAGACACGGCCCAGACUCCUACGGGAGGCAGCAGUGGGGAAUUUUCCGCAAUGGGCGAAACGUGACGGAGCAACGCCGCGUGAGGGACGAAGGCCUCUGGGCUGUAAACCUCUUUUUUCAAGGAAGAAGAUAUGACGGUACUUGAGGAAUAAGCCACGGCUAAUUCCGUGCCAGCAGCCGCGGUAAUACGGGAGUGGCAAGCGUUAUCCGGAAUUAUUGGGCGUAAAGCGUCCGCAGGCGGCCUUUCAAGUCUGCUGUUAAAGCGUGGAGCUUAACUCCAUUAUGGCAGUGGAAACUGAUCGGCUUGAGUAUGGUAGGGGCAGAGGGAAUUCCCGGUGUAGCGGUGAAAUGCGUAGAUAUCGGGAAGAACACCAGUGGCGAAGGCGCUCUGCUGGGCCAUUACUGACGCUCAUGGACGAAAGCCAGGGGAGCGAAAGGGAUUAGAUACCCCUGUAGUCCUGGCCGUAAACGAUGAACACUAGGUGUCGGGGGAAUCGACCCCUUCGGUGUCGUAGCUAACGCGUUAAGUGUUCCGCCUGGGGAGUACGCACGCAAGUUGAAACUCAAAGGAAUUGACGGGNNNCCGCACAAGCGUGGAGUAUGUGGUUUAAUUCGAUGCAACGCGAAGAACCUUACCAGGGUUUGACAUCCUGAGAACCUCUUAGAAAUUUGAGGGUGCCUUCGGGAAUUCAGUGACAGGUGGUGCAUGGCUGUCGUCAGCUCGUGUCGUGAGAUGUUGGGUUAAGUCCCGCAACGAGCGCAACCCACGUUUUUAGUUGCCAGCAUUUAGUUGGGCACUCUAGAAAGACCGCCGGUGAUAAACCGGAGGAAGGUGUGGAUGACGUCAAGUCAUCAUGCCCCUUACACCCUGGGCUACACACGUACUACAAUGCUACGGACAAAGGGCAGCACACUCGCGAGAGCUAGCAAAUCCCAUAAACCGUGGCUCAGUUCAGAUCGUAGGCUGCAACUCGCCUACGUGAAGUAGGAAUCGCUAGUAAUCGCAGGUCAGCAUACUGCGGUGAAUACGUUCCCGGGCCUUGUACACACCGCCCGUCCCACCAUGGAAGUUGGCCAUGCCCGAAGUCGUUACUCCAACCCUUGUGGAGGAGGACGCCGAAGUGGGGCUAAUGACUGGGGUGAAGUCGUAACAAGGUAGCCGUACCGGAAGGUGGGGCUGGAUCACCUCCUU